rnacentral:sRNA from 1 species
UCACUAAGAUGAUCAACUUGCGAAACAGC